CUGAAGCCCACCACCACCUCCCCUCACCCCGUCCAAGGAGCUGGCACUGUCCCUUAAUAAAGAGCAUCCAGGGGGCAGUUCAUCACACACACCAUGCACCACAAGUGAUGGUGAAAAAAUGGUGCAAUAAACUGAUGGACGGAUUGUAUUAUUGGACUCUCCAGAAAGAACACAGUCUGUCACAGUUGAUGAAGAUGAUGAAGAUGACGAUGAAGAGACCACAUCUGCUGUGACAGAAGUGGACAAUGCUGGUAGAUCCACUGAG